UUUCCGUAGGUGAACCAGCGGAAGGAUCAUUAACGAGUAAGGGACAUUAUGGCCCGACCUCCAACUCUUUGUUUAAUUACUAUGUUGCUUUGGCGGGCCCGUUUCACGACCGCCGGAAGUGCACGUACUUCUCGCCCGUGUCCGCCAAUCGGCUUCUCUCAACUCUAGUUCUAUAGUAAUGUCUAAUUUGUAAAUUUAAUAGUUAAAACUUUCAACAACGGAUCUCUUGGUUCUG
rnacentral:misc_RNA from 1 species